CUCACAAUGAAAUAUGGGUCAUUCCAAGUGAAAACAGCCAAAAUCGGGGUAUCAUGUACAUGGUACCUCUCAGAUUUUGCUGAAAAGUGGUGAAAAUAUGCCUUAUGUUACCAAACG